rnacentral:snoRNA from 14 species
CUUGCAAGUGACGAUAAAUUAGACAGGGACAUCAGAUCUCCUAAUUAGAGAACAUGAUGAUUUGUCGAUGGGAAUCUCUCUGAUGCAUA